UCCGCCAAAUAACUACGAGUACAAACUUAAAAUUUAAAGGACUUGACGGUAUUUCACACCCAACCUAGAGGAGCCUGUCUACUAACCGAUAACCCACGAUUAACCCAACCGCUUCUAGCCCCCAGCCUAUAUACCACCGUCGCCAGCCUACCUUACAAAAGAAACAUAGUAAGCUAAAUAGUAAUACACUAAAACGACAGGUCAAGGUGUAGCUAAUGAAACGGAUUAAGAUGGGCUACAUUCUCUAACUCAGAUUAUACGAACCAGGCCAUGAAACUAAGCCUUCGAAGGCGGAUUUAGCAGUAAGCCGAGAACACAACACUCAACUGAAACCAAUGCAAUGAAAUGCGU
rnacentral:rRNA from 1 species